rnacentral:rRNA from 1 species
UACAGAGGUGGCAAGCGUUGUUCGGAAUUACUGGGCGUAAAGGGCGCGUAGGCGGUUCGUUAAGUCCUGUGUGAAAUCCCCCGGCUCAACUGGGGAACUGCACAGGAAACUAGCGGGCUUGAGUUCGGGAGAGGGAAGCGGAAUUCCGGGUGUAGCGGUGAAAUGCGUAGAGAUCCGGAGGAAGACCGGUGGCGAAGGCGGUCUGCUGGGCAGUGACUGACGCUGAGGCGCGACAGCGUGGGGAGCAAACAGG